CUUCACGACUGACGGCGGUGAGCAGCGGAGAACUGGCCGAUGCUGUCGCGUCCGACCCGGUGCUGGUCAAGCUGUCUGAGCAGCUCACCCGAAGUUGGUCAAGUCGCAUAGGUGAGGUCCCACCUGAAUUGAAGCCAUUCUUCCGAUGUCGUGAUGAGUUAAGUCUGAUGGGUGGCCUCAUUUUCAAGGGAGAGCGGGUGGUAGUACCAGAGUGUCUGAGGGAGAGAUUGGUGGCCCUGGCACAUGAGAGCCACCCGGGGAUCAUACGUACCAAGCAGCGCCUGCGGGCAGUGUACUGGUGGCCAGGUCUUGAUGCUGCUGUAGAGACGGCCGUGAAGGAGUGUGAUGCAUGCGCCCUGUCUGACAAAACGGUGAAGUCACGCAGAGCACCGCUGAUGCCAGUCCCGUUCCCGGAUGUUGCCUGGGACAAGCUGGGCAUCGACUUCAUCGGCCCGAUGCAAGGACCGCUGCAUCAAAGCAGGGUCAGGAGCGGUGGAGCGGAUGAACCGGAGCAUCAAGGCGGCCCUGCAGAUGGCGGACUUGGAGGGCGUCGACCGACGAAGGUACAUGCAGACGUUUCUGCAGAACUACAGGGCAACACCUCAUGCUACUACCGGUCGCCGACAGAUCGUGCAACAGACGGGCCCGGCUUCGUACCGCCUGGACGACGGCACCAGAAUCCACGCUGAGCGGCUCUCCAGGUGGACACCGUCGAUGGAGCCGUCAGAGACGGAGGCGGGCGGUGCGCCUCGCGGGAUCGGCGGGGGCACUGAGACACUGUGUCCGGCGGAUCGCGACGUCCGCCGUCGAGUGCCGUCGCGGGCACCAUCUCUGAGUCGAGGUGACUGUAUUUCGUGUCAUGGGACUGAUUCUGACUCGAGUGAGGAAGUGGACCCGUCAGAUGAACCCCUAGAGCGUGCGUCGCCGUUAUCACCUCCAGCGUCCACUGCAGUGCAACGGCAGUCGCCAACCGUCGGGGGCGACGGAGUGUCACGCUUUACGCGAUCAGGUCGUCGUUAUUAUUGUGAGGGGCAAAUGUAGUGUUGUGCGUAGUAUUGUGUGACGCGCUAGCGUCGUAGUUCGGUCUAAGCCUGACGGCUCACGACGUACUGUACGUUAUGACGCAGCCCCGCCCGCGUGACUGGGCGGCGCUGACCGUUGACGGGUCGUGCGGCGCCGGCGGCGCUCAGUCUGACACCGGCCACGAGAGCAGAGGAGCGGCUGCCGAGGCUGGUAGACGCCGAGCCAGCUCACUGGGCUGGAGUCUGUUAUGUAACGUUAUCGCCGUUUGUUCUUAUUUUAAUAUCAUGGUGGUGGCUAAACAGUGAGUUUGAAGGACGUGGAACUGGACGGAAGCACACGGGAGGACUCGACACU